AAGCUAUGAUGAGGUCACUUUCUCAAUAAAUCUUUGAAUCUUUCCUAAGCUUCUUACAAACUCUCUUGAUCAUGGUGGAUAAAGGUCAUUAUCUCAUUGCGUAGUUU
rfam:Jatropha curcas cultivar GZQX0401 scaffold141_9, whole genome shotgun sequence.